ACCCGCUGAACUUAAGCAUAUCAAUAAGCGGAGGAAAAGAAACCAACAGGGAUUGCCCUAGUAACGGCGAGUGAAGCGGCAACAGCUCAAAUUUGAAAUCUGGCCUCGGCCCGAGUUGUAAUUUGCAGAGGAAGCUUUAGGCGCGGCACCAACUGAGUCCCCUGGAACGGGGCGCCAUAGAGGGUGAGAGCCCCGUAUAGUUGGACGCCUAGCCUGUGUAAAGCUCCUUCGACGAGUCGAGUAGUUUGGGAAUGCUGCUCAAAAUGGGAGGUAAAUUUCUUCUAAAGCUAAAUACCGGCCAGAGACCGAUAGCGCACAAGUAGAGUGAUCGAAAGAUGAAAAGCACUUUGAAAAGAGGGUUAAAUAGCACGUGAAAUUGUUGAAAGGGAAGCGCUUGUGACCAGACUUGCGCCGGGCGGAUCAUCCGGUGUUCUCACCGGUGCACUCCGCCCGGCUCAGGCCAGCAUCGGUUCUCGCGGGGGGAUAAAGGCCUCGGGAACGUAGCUCCUCCGGGAGUGUUAUAGCCCGGGGCGCAAUGCCCUCGCGGGGACCGAGGUUCGCGCAUCUGCAAGGAUGCUGGCGUAAUGGUCAU
rnacentral:rRNA from 1 species